rnacentral:lncRNA from 1 species
GGAACAGGGCGGAUACCUGACCAACUCGUGAUUCUAGACAUGAAGCAUGGAGUAGAGGCGAAAAAUUAUGAAGAGAUCGCAAAAGUUGAGAAACUCAAACCACUGGAGGUGGAGCUACGGCGGCUCGAGGACCUUUCAGAGUCUAUUGUUAACGACUUUGCCUACAUGAAGAAGCGGGAAGAGGAGAUGAGGGACACCAACGAGUCCACAAACACCCGCGUCCUGUACUUCAGCAUCUUUUCCAUGUUCUGCCUCAUUGGACUAGCCACCUGGCAGGUCUUCUACCUGCGUCGCUUCUUCAAGGCCAAGAAGUUGAUAGAGUAAUGAGGCUCAGUCUUCUGUCCCCUGGAGCCAGCAGAACAUCGCUGGGACGUGCCUGGCCUAGCCCAAGGCCAAGUUACUAACAGUAUAUCAAGGCGCAGCUGAGCAUCUUGCCAGAACUGAUCCUUCUGGUGUGGGAGAGCAUGGGCACCACCCACACCCAGCAAGUCAGAGAGGACUUUUUAAUGCAGUAGGAUUUGGACUGGUUUGCAACAAGAUUAUUAAAGUCGCCUAUGGAAAAACAAAACAAAACAAAACAACAAACAGGGGUUACCUAGAUAACGCCAAAGCCAGCAUUCGUCCUGGGUCGCCUCACAGGAUCGGUUUGAGCUGUUUGCUUUUUCUCUCCCACUUGCUCACCGCCUUGGUCCUCCACUCUAGUUCUCCUCCAAGAUUUCUCUGACCUCGGUCAGCUCCUUCAUAUCAGUUGUCUCUUUGGUUUCCUUGUGAAACACCUUGAACUUCUCUUGGUCCUUAGAUGAAAUGUUUACAGAGCUUCUGGUGAUAUCCUUCAUAAUUUUAUGUCUUCUAAAAGGGUCAUGGGUGGGACACAAAACAAAGUGAGCUUUGAACUGUAGAUAAUCUCUUAAAAGAAAAUCUCAUUUUAGACCAUUAAAAUGUUUGUGCUCAACUGCUUGAAGUCCUGGUGUAUGUGUGUUUAGUUCUGUCCAAUUAUCACUCAUAGGUCCUGUCGGUCAUCUCAGGUAGAGUAGCUCCAUCACAUGGCUGUUGUAGCUGGCCACUCCCUUCUUCACCCCAGGCUCUGGCUCCCUAAUCUGCUCACUGGUUCUGAACCUUUGUAACUCUGUUAUGUAAAUGGGUCAUCAAGAGUGCAACCUUUGGAGGUUGACUUUCUCCACUCAGCAUAAUUCCCAGGAGGUGCCCCUCAAAGGUGUUGCACACUGAUUUUCCUCCAGGUUAUGGAUGGUACUGCAAUGUGCUUAAAGGGCAUAUGGGUGGGUCUGGUGAUUUGGCCCUUAACCACUAAAGUUCUUAUGUGAAUGUACGUCUUCAUCACUCUGGGAUAGAUGCUAAAGAGGGCAAUUGCUAUGGUGUGUGGGAAGCGCACACAGUUCUAAAUGAAGCCUCCUGCCCUUGUCUAGAGUGGCUAGAGCAUGCUCCAUGUCCACAUUCUCCUUCAUCUUUAUCAUUGUUAUUUUAACUUAGCCCCUUGAAUAGGUGCCUGUAAUGUCUCAUCAUGGUUUUAAUUUGCAUUCUCCAAAUGGCAGAUGGUGUUGAGCAUCCUUUCUUGUGCUUGUCAUUAGCCAUCUGUACGUUCUUGUCGGUGAAAUGUCUGUUGGUGGCUUUUGCCCAUUUUCUACAUGAUCAUUUGUUCACUUCACCGCUGAGUUCUGUGUGUGUCCUCUUGGACUUUUGGGUAGUUGCUUGAACUUUUCACAUAACUUCUACCAGGAAGAAUGAGUAAAUUUUACCAGCCCUUGUACGGGCCAAUCACUGAUCUAAUUCCUGUUCUUCAGUGUUGUCUCAGAGACGUGGACAUAAAGGGUUUAACUUGGACAUCUGGGAAAGUCACAGAUAGUAAAUACUUGAAAAUAUUUGUUGUAAAAACAAAGCCAAGGUUCACUUGGUGGGAGUUUUAGGUACCUCAAAGUAGUUCUGGGAGUGUCCCUCAGGUAGGUAGGUAGAGUGCCUACCUAGCACGUGGAAGGCUCUGUGCCUGAUUGCCUGCACUGGGGGGAAAGUAAGUACAAAUGCUUGUAAACACGAGAAAUACUCAUUUAUGACUUAAGGUCUUUCCUACUUCUCCUGGGAAAGUGGGUGAUCUUUUAACCCUGCUGACCUGUUGUUACAGGGAUUGUCUUAAUUGCAGUCCUGAGAAUUACAGGACUUAGACCCAUGUUGCUUACAGUAAAGAAGUGAAAUAUUGAAGUUAUCAGAGAACACUGUUAAGAUGACCUGGAUGAAGUACGAAGGUGAACAGGAAUGCUUUAUGUGGUUAAGUAUCAGGCUGUUCUGUUAAGGUUCCAGUUACUAUACACUCAAAAGCCUUUGUCUUAGGACUCCCAUAAACGCCUGCAUGGCAUCAAGUGUUCUCUGGUACAACAGUGCCAUCUGCUGUUGAAAAAUGAUAGGUCUCACUUCUAAGAUCUUAGCAUGCAAGUCCUCACCAUGGCACCAGCAGAUGGUCAGAAAUCUGUAACAUCCAUACAUCAAGUGACAGAAGAACAAUUUAAGUAUGAAAAGAAUAAACAAUAAGAAAAUAAAUUUUGGGUCAAAACCCAUUUGUAGACUUUUAAAUGCAAAACCAUGGUGUGUACCAUUAGCCUAACACGAGACUCCUAUUUUCUGACUUGUGCCUUCCCCUCUUUUAGGAGCAAUGACAACCACUCUACUAAUUUUCUGUUUUCUGUCCUGGAAAAUGUCAAUGUUUCAGAGAGGAGAAAAAUAGACCAUUUUGCCCAUGGUUUUGUUUCCAAGCUCUUGUAAACAAGAACAUCUGUAAACAUAAGCUUUGUAGAACUGAAAUUAUUUCAAGUCCUUUCGUUUGUUUUAAUUCAUGCCAAAAACAACCAACUUGGACAUUGUGCUUGAAGAGCAUUUAUUUGCCUUUGGCAGUAGGCUUGCACAAAUGCACAUCAGCUUUAUAAACAGGUUAUUACCUGCUUCCUUUCAUUUUCAGCAUAUUCAAAAUAAUUUGAGAAUAAGACAGUUUCAAUAAACCUUGUUCCGUACCAUUGUCAUGACCCCCCACCCUACCCCCAUCAGAGCCAUCUUCUGUUUGUUAAUGGGAAGAGGCAUGUGGGGUUUAUAUAGGCUCACCUGUUGGGAGAUUUUUGUGUAAACUUUCACAAAUAAAGGCUAGCAGAAACCA